UACGUAGGGUGCGAGCGUUGUCCGGAAUUAUUGGGCGUAAAGAGCUCGUAGGCGGCUUGUCGCGUCGGAUGUGAAAGCCCGGGGCUUAACUCCGGGUCUGCAUUCGAUACGGGCAGGCUAGAGUUCGGUAGGGAGAUCGGAAUUCCUGGUGUAGCGGUGAAAUGCGCAGAUAUCAGGAGGAACACCGGUGGCGAAGGCGGAUCUCUGGGCCGAUACUGACGCUGAGGAGCGAAAGCGUGGGGAGCCAACAGG
rnacentral:rRNA from 1 species